rnacentral:rRNA from 1 species
AUUGAACGCUGGCGGCAUGCCUUACACAUGCAAGUCGAACGGCAGCACGGGUGCUUGCACCUGGUGGCGAGUGGCGAACGGGUGAAUAAUACAUCGGAACGUACCUUAUCGUGGGGGAUAACGCAGCGAAAGCUGUGCUAAUACCGCAUAUGCCCUGAGGGGGAAAGCGGGGGAUCGAAAGACCUCGCGCGAUUAGAGCGGCCGAUGCCUGAUUAGCUUGUUGGUGGGGUAAAAGCCCACCAAGGCGACGAUCAGUAGCUGGUCUGAGAGGACGAUCAGCCAAACUGGAACUGAGACACGGCCCAGACUCCUACGGGAGGCAGCAGUGGGGAAUUUUGGACAAUGGGGGCAACCCUGAUCCAGCAAUGCCGCGUGAGUGAGGAAGGCCUUCGGGUUGUAAAGCUCUUUUGUCAGGGAAGAAACACCGGCUCUAACACAGUCCGGGAAUGACGGUACCUGAAGAAUAAGCACCGGCUAACUACGUGCCAGCCGCCGCGGUAA